UAAAUUGAACCCGGGGCUCGCGAGAAGGCUCUCUUUGCAGCGGAUCCCUCCUUGAAACGCUUUAAGUCGCAUAAACAGAGUGUGCGGAACCUUAAAAGGGUGGGAGAUGUUCUAGCUAUUGUUGUUGUAGCGGGAUGUUGUUAUGAAAUAUAUGUGAGAGCUGUUAUGCGGGAAGAAGCAAGGAAGAAUGAAGAAGGAAGCGCAUAAUGGCAGAUCGUUCUGUUUUUGCAUAUUUUCACUGCCUUUAUUCUUUGAAACAUGGGGGAAAUGGGAUAAUGAAGGAUGGGUAUCUCUAAGUACAUGAAACUCGUGUUUUAACUUUUGUUUGGGGUUGGUGGUAUGAAAAUAAGGUGGUUCCAAACAGUUGAGGCUGCAUCUCAACGCCAAGAACUUUGCAUGCAAAUUUUGGUUUUAUUUGAACUUUAUGUUUGAAUGCUCUAAAGUGUAUGUGAUGCCUGGUGAGAUUUUCUCACCUUCAAUUAUAUGGUGCUUUCACUUCUA